UGAAUCCUGUGACUCAGCUCAUUCCCUAGCAGAAUGCAAAGGGCAAAAUGUAAAACCAGCAGUAACCUAUGUCAGGGUCCCAGGAAAAGAAAUCAAGUCCAAGGCAGAUCUUCCGUAAUCAGGGAUAAAAGGAAUGUGUAGGGUUAAUGAACCAAAGGUCAAAAGACGUAUCUGAACUCCG
rnacentral:lncRNA from 1 species